CUUAAAGUGGGAGUGACAGCUUGUACGAAAGUAUUGGUUUUCUUCGGACACUCUUCAAGGUGCUGCAUUGGUUUGUCGUCAGCUCGUGCCGUGAGGUGUCGGUUAAGUCCCAUAACGAGCGCAACCCUUACCGUUAGUUACCAUCAGGUUAAGCUGGGGACUCUAGCGGGACUGCCACCGUAAGGUGAGAGGAAGGUGGGGAUGACGUCAAAUCAGCACGGCCCUUAUGUCCAGGGCUACACACGUGUUACAAUGGCCAGUACAAAGGGCAGCUACCGGGUGACCGGAUGCUAAUCUCUAAAGCUGGUCUCAGUUCGGAUCGAAGUCUGCAACCCGACUUCGUGAAGCUGGAUUCGCUAGUAAUCGCGCAUCAGCCAUGGCGCGGUGAAUACGUUCCCGGGCCUU
rnacentral:rRNA from 1 species